CGGCGCACGGGUGAGUAACGCGUAUCCCACCUGCCCACCACUUGGGGAUAACCUUGCGAAAGUAAGACUAAUACCCAAUGACGUCUCUAGAAGACAUCUGAAGGGAUUAAAGAUUUAUCGGUGAUGGAUGGGGAUGCGUCUGAUUAGCUUGUUGGCGGGGUAACGGCCCACCAAGGCGACGAUCAGUAGGGGUUCUGAGAGGAAGGUCCCCCACAUUGGAACUGAGACACGGUCCAAACUCCUACGGGAGGCAGCAGUGAGGAAUAUUGGUCAAUGGGCGAGAGCCUGAACCAGCCAAGUAGCGUGCAGGAUGACGGCCCUAUGGGUUGUAAACUGCUUUUAUAAGGGAAUAAAGUGAGUCUCGUGAGACUUUUUGCAUGUACCUUAUGAAUAAGGACCGGCUAAUUCCGUGCCAGCAGCCGCGGUAAUACGGAAGGUCCGGGCGUUAUCCGGAUUUAUUGGGUUUAAAGGGAGCGUAGGCCGGAGAUUAAGCGUGUUGUGAAAUGUAGACGCUCAACGUCUGCACUGCAGCGCGAACUGGUUUCCUUGAGUACGCACAAAGUGGGCGGAAUUCGUGGUGUAGCGGUGAAAUGCUUAGAUAUCACGAAGAACUCCGAUUGCGAAGGCAGCUCACUGGAGCGCAACUGACGCUGAAGCUCGAAAGUGCGGGUAUCGAACAGGAUUAGAUACCCUGGUAGUCCGCACGGUAAACGAUGGAUGCCCGCUGUUGGUCUGAACAGGUCAGCGGUCAAGCGAAAGCAUUAAGCAUCCCACCUGGGGAGUA
rnacentral:rRNA from 1 species